rnacentral:lncRNA from 1 species
UAUCUCAGAUGGUGCCAUUAAAACAAAAUACAUAUAUGGUUUGGCGAUAUCUGGCCACAGCUUUUAUUCAUAAUAUGAUAGAUUCAUAUAAUAUAUAAUAUAUAUAUAGAUAGAUAGACCAUAUAUGUAUAUGUAGAUAGAUCUAUGGUCGGUUACCCGAAGAUAAUAUGGCAACCAGAUAGAUAGAUAGAUAGAUAUAUAUGAAAAUGUAAAGAUGCACCGUGGGUGCUUUAAAUUUAGAAAACACCGUGGGAUACACAAGUGUAGUCUGUAUUAUCCAAAAACCUAAAAUUUCAUAGUUAACAUUAAGAUUCUAUGCAGCGAAUUCUGCCACAUUGACGGAGGAAAACAGAGACUCUGUCAACCGCCAUAAAAAGGGCGGUUCGCUGCAAAGCUGUGAACCAGAUAUGAGAUAACUACAGAUAUAUAGAUAGAUAGAUAUUUUUAUUUAACGUACAACUUGGUACAUAUAUAUAUUAAAUAAUCUAGAUAGAUAGAUAGAUAUUUUAUUUAACGUACAACUUGGUACAUAUAUAUGAUCAAUAUUCUAGAUAGCUGGAUAGAUAUUUUUAUUUAAAGUACAACUUGGUACAUAUAUAUAUAUUAAAUAAUCUAGAUGAUGUUUUGUGAACAACUGUUCAAAAACAUAUUUACCUACACAGAUAAAAAUACUUACCAAAACUACAGCAAACCAUAAGAUAGUUGAUUGUAUUUGUAUAUCAUAAAAUAUAGUAUAUUAUAGUAUAUCAACAAAUAAUAUUAAAGAUGUUUAAGAAUUCAUUUCAUAAGCAGGUUAAGGGUGACAAGUGAAAAACAUCCAGUUGAAAAAUUUCUGGUCUGAUCGAAAAUCAUAAUAUUUUAUGUAGCAACCCUGACAGCUAAUUAUAAAGGCAAUAAAUAGUUGUAAAUUCUAUAGCAGCACACGUCCAUGUUUGCAUUGGUCAAA